CGAUUCCUCUGUAGUUCAGUCGGUAGAACGGCGGACUGUUAAUCCGUAUGUCACUGGUUCGAGUCCAGUCAGAUCAC
rnacentral:tRNA from 1 species